UCCUCCUCCAUCUUUGCAAUGGCAGAAGAGUUGCUGUUUCUGGCUUCCCAAUGUGAUGAAAAGGCUGUGAUUUAAAGCAAUUCCUGGGCAAAACCAAAGAGCUGUAAAUAAUCAGGUUGCACUGACUUCCUUGCCUACUAAACUGCUUGCCCAGAGGCUGAGGUGCAUUUUCCCCAGCAAAGCUGAUCCCCGAGGACCCGUUUCUUGCUUGACUUGAGGAACGCAGCUCACCAGAACCCUGCUUCGUGG
rnacentral:lncRNA from 1 species